UACAGAGGUCUCAAGCGUUGUUUGGAUUCAUUGGGCGUAAAGGGUGUGUAGGUGGCGCGCUAAGUCGGGUGUGAAAUUUCGGAGCUUAACUCCGAAACUGCAUUCGAUACUGGCGUGCUUGAGGACUGGAGAGGAGACUGGAAUUUACGGUGUAGCAGUGAAAUGCGUAGAUAUCGUAAGGAAGACCAGUGGCGAAGGCGGGUCUCUGGACAGUUCCUGACACUGAGACACGAAGGCCAGGGGAGCAAACGGG
rnacentral:rRNA from 1 species